GAUGAACGCUGGCGGCGUGCCUAACACAUGUAAGUCGAACGUGAAGAUGCAGCAAUGUGUCUGAAAGUGGCGGACGGGUGAGUAACACGUAGGUAACCUGCCUCGAAGUGGGGGAUAACCAUUGGAAACGAUGGCUAAUACCGCAUGGUCUUGUUAAAAUGGGAAUUUUGACAAGUAAAGCCUUGGCGCUUCGAGAGGGGUCUGCGUCCGAUUAGCUAGUUGGUAGGGUAAAGGCCUACCAAGGCGAUGAUCGGUAGCUGGUCUGAAAGGACGAUCAGCCACACGGGAACUGAGAAACGGUCCCGACUCCUACGGGGGGCAGCAGUGAGGAAUAUUGCACAAUGGGCGCAAGCCUGAUGCAGCAACGCCGCGUGGAGGAUGAAGGUUUUCGGAUUGUAAACUCCUUUUACGGGGGAAAAGAACGGAUGGUACCCCGUGAAUAAGUCACGGCUAACUACGUGCCACCAGCCGCGGUAAUACGUAGGUGACGAGCGUUAUCCGGAUUUAUUGGGCGUAAAGGCGUACGCAGGCGGUUGAUUAAGUCUGAACGUGAAUCCUCCCGGCUUAACUGGGAGGCAGUCGUUGGAAACUAAUUGACUUGAGGGCAAUGAGAGGUAGGCAGAAUUCCCGGUGUAGUGGUGGAAUGCGUAGAUAUCGGGGGGGAAUACCAGUGGCGAAAGCGGCCUACCAGCAUUGUACUGACGCUCAUGUACGAAAGCGUGGGGAGCAAACGGGAUUAGAUACCCCGGUAGUCCACGCCGUAAACGAUGAACACUAGGUGUGGGGGGCCUUAAAAACCUUCUGUACCGAAGCCAACGCGAUAAGUGUUCCGCCUGGGAAGUACGGCCGCAAGGCUAAAACUCAAAGGAAUUGACGGGGGCCUGCACAAGCGGUGGAGCAUGUGGUUUAAUUCGAAGCAACGCGCAGAACCUUACCAGCGUUUGACAUGGUAGGACGGUUUCCAGAGAUGGAUUCCUUCCCUUACGGGACCUACACACAGGUGCUGCAUGGCUGUCGUCAGCUCGUGUCGUGAGAUGUUGGGUUAAGUCCCGCAACGAGCGCAACCCUCGUCUUUAGUUGCUACCAUUUAGUUGAGCACUCUAAAGAAACUGCCGGUGAUAAGCCGGAGGAAGGUGGGGAUGACGUCAAGUCCUCAUGGCCCUUACAUGCUGGGCUACACACGUGCUACAAUGGCGGUGACAACGGGCAGCAAACCGGCGACGGUGAGCAAAUCCCGAAAAGCCGUCUCAGUUCGGAUUGUUCUCUGCAACUCGAGAGCAUGAAGGCGGAAUCGCUAGUAAUCGCGGAUCAGCAUGCCGCGGUGAAUACGUUCCCAGGCCUUGUACACACCGCCCGUCACACCAUGGGAGUUGGAUUCACCCGAAGGCGUUGCGCUAACCUCGCAAGAGGAGGCAGGCGACCACGGUGGGUUUAGCGACUGGGGUG
rnacentral:rRNA from 1 species